rnacentral:rRNA from 1 species
UACGUAGGGCGCAAGCGUUGUCCGGAAUUAUUGGGCGUAAAGAGCUCGUAGGCGGCCUGUUGCGUCCGCUGUGAAAUCCCGGGGCUCAACCCCGGGCGUGCAGUGGAUACGGGCUGGCUGGAGGCAGGCAGGGGAGAACGGAAUCCUGGUGUAGCGGUGAAAUGCGCAGAUAUCAGGAGGAACACCGGUGGCGAAGGCGGUUCUCUGGGCCUGUACUGACGCUGAGGUGCGAAAGCGUGGGGAGCAAACAGG